AUGCGAGCCCCAAAGGAGAGAAAUGGGUGAAAAGCACUCUCUGCACUGCUGUCACAAAAGACCGCAACAGAGGAAGAAAAACAGAAGCGAGGCCGAGACCGGAGGAGGGGGACGAGGAGAGGGAAAAGUCCCACACUGAAGGAAUUAGAGAAAAUGACAUGAUCAGGGAUGGAGGAGGAGAGGGAUGAACAACAGGGAAUAGACCCAGAAAGUGGGAUUAUUUGGACAUUAACCCAUGAGGAGAACGAAGCGUCCGACAAGGACCAGCAAACACAGGACCUGCAGGAUUAUAGAGGAGACGCUGAUGGAGAAGAGGCCAGCAAGGAUACAGAGGAUUUGUACGUCACUGUUCCAGACGUGUUCAUACAGGAGACUCUCACAGUGCCACAAAUACAGGUAGAGGGUGAACAGCUCCCACAGUCGCCCCCGACGACAGAUGAGGUCUUAACCCCCCUCUCAGCAUCAUCCCUAUCAUCUCUCACGCAAGGUUCUGCCUCUGAACCCUGCUUUUACUGCUUAAGGUCGCUUGACUCAUAUCAACCUGAAGACCCCAAGCAGGAGGAUUUAGAUGCUUCAUCACCUUCUAGUGUUCAGAAGAUGAGCUACCAGACAGACCCUCGCCCUCACUUUGGCGUGGCCUGGUCCUCGCACUCGACCUGCAGGCCUUUGUGGGGCAGUGAGGGGCCCUGCUGGGGGCCUAGGAAUCAGGAGGUGACUGAUCAGAUUGACCCUUGUCCUCACUGCCAUCUGGGUUUGCCCCCUGACACACUGCGCUGGCACGAGGUCUGCACAAAUGGACACACAACAUCCCAUGUGUUUA
rnacentral:lncRNA from 1 species